AACACACAAAUAGCAAGAUGAAGAGCAAGGCAUCAAAUAAAGAUACCCACAUCCAAGCUUAGCAACUCCAUGAUCUUCUUCAUAAUUCUCCAUGUAUCAGAUGACUUCAAAGAUGACAUAAGUCGCAGGUUCAAAAUAACAACUUCACAAUGAUCAUGUUGCAGAUGAACUCAGAUGGAUCUUCAAUAUUGUAUCAGAUGAAUAUUCUUUCCACAAGCACAUGGUUUCAUGAAAAUUGGCAUUGG
rnacentral:lncRNA from 1 species